UUGACCUCGGAUCACGUAGGAAUACCCGCUGAACUUAAGCAUAUCAUACGCGGGAAGGAACAA
rnacentral:rRNA from 1 species